AUGCAAGCUAUGAUUAGCAUCACUGAAGACAGACAAGAGAGGCCUCUCAAGAACAAACGAAGAGGAAUCACUGAAAGCUGGUCAUGUAGUGUUAAUUACUUGCGGGAUAUCCAUCACAUAAAAACUUGGAUACUACGGGUGUGUUUGGUUUACUGGAUAGCUCUCUCUCUCUCUCUCUCUCUCUCUCUCUCUCUCUCUCUCUCUCUCUCUCUGGUGGCAGGGGCUGCGAUAUGGGGUUGUGCGGGGCAGGACGGGGACGUGCCAUAUUCGACGGCGGCGCAGGUUGUUUGGGACGGGGAAGGGGGAGGCGCUUGA
rnacentral:rRNA from 1 species